rnacentral:rRNA from 1 species
GAUGAACGCUGGCGGCGUGCCUAAUACAUGCAAGUCGAGCGAACGGAUUAAGAGCUUGCUCUUAUGAAGUUAGCGGCGGACGGGUGAGUAACACGUGGGUAACCUGCCCAUAAGACUGGGAUAACUCCGGGAAACCGGGGCUAAUACCGGAUAAUAUUUUGAACUGCAUAGUUCGAAAUUGAAAGGCGGCUUCGGCUGUCACUUAUGGAUGGACCCGCGUCGCAUUAGCUAGUUGGUGAGGUAACGGCUCACCAAGGCAACGAUGCGUAGCCGACCUGAGAGGGUGAUCGGCCACACUGGGACUGAGACACGGCCCAGACUCCUACGGGAGGCAGCAGUAGGGAAUCUUCCGCAAUGGGCGAAAGCCUGACGCAGCGACGCCGCGUGGGUGAUGAAGGCC